rnacentral:rRNA from 1 species
CGCCUGAGUAGUACGUUCGCAAGAAUAAAACUUAAAGGAAUUGACGGGGAUCCGCACAAGCGGUGGAGCAUGUGGUUUAAUUUGAAGAUACGCGUAGAACCUUACCCACUCUUGACAUCUUCUGCAAAGCUAUGGAGACAUAGUGGAGGUUAACAGAAUGACAGAUGGUGCAUGGUUGUCGUCAGCUCGUGUCGUGAGAUGUUCGGUUAAGUCCUGCAACGAGCGCAACCCUUAUCCUUAGUUACUACCAUUUAGUUGAGCACUCUAAGGAGACUGCCCGAGUAAUCGGGAGGAAGGUGGGGACGACGUCAAAUCAUCAUGCCUCUUACGAGUGGGGCUACACACGUGCUACAAUGGACGGUACAAAGAGAAGCGAAGUGGUGACAUGGAGCAAACCUCAAAAAACCGUUCUCAGUUCGGAUUGAAGUCUGCAACUCGACUUCAUGAAGUCGGAAUCGCUAGUAAUCGUAGAUCAGCUACGCUACGGUGAAUACGUUCUCGGGUCUUGUACACACCGC